AUAUUGCACAAUGGGCGCAAGCCUGAUCCAGCCAUGCCGCGUGUGUGAAGAAGGUCUUCGGAUUGUAAAGCACUUUAAGUUGGGAGGAAGGGCAUUAACCUAAUACGUUAGUGCUUUGACGUUACCGACAGAAUAAGCACCGGCUAACUCUGUGCCAGCAGCCGCGGUAAUACAGAGGGUGCAAGCGUUAAUCGGAAUUACUGGGCGUAAAGCGCGCGUAGGUGGUUCGUUAAGUUGACUGUGAAAGCCCCGGGCUCAACCUGGGAACUGCAUCCAAAACUGGCGAGCUAGAGUAGGGCAGAGGGUGGUGGAAUUUCCUGUGUAGCGGUGAAAUGCGUAGAUAUAGGAAGGAACACCAGUGGCGAAGGCGACCACCUGGGCUCAUACUGACACUGAGGUGCGAAAGCGUGGGGAGCAAAC
rnacentral:rRNA from 1 species